ACUGCCCCUAGAGGUAUUACAGGUGCAGCUGCUGUGUCCCGUGUAUCUCAAUAGGUGGCAGAGAAAAGAGAGGCCAUGUCUAUAGUUAGUGUUCAGACCUAUGAAUGUCUGAAUGAUUAGUAACUUAAUAUG
ensembl:snoRNA